GUCCGAGCAUGCUGAGGGUUGUAGUUUUGCAACAGCUGGAGGAACAUUGGUCAAGAAACACUGGUUAACUUCAAGCAAUGGUCAACAAGCCGUAAAGCUGUGAACGCAGUCCACAACCAGGGAGAACAGCAAGGGUGUACAGCUUAUAAAGGCAGAUCAUACAGCUGCUGUGGGGCCCUUGGUGAAAGAAAAAGCCCAUCAAUGUGGUCACUACAGGUUGGACUAUGAUCACAUACUGUUUUACACAUAAAAAAGGCCACUUUCUUCAUUUCAAACGUUUCUGAGUUCCGGAAACUGAGGUUUGGGGAAAGCUGCUACAGCUGUCCCAUUCUUAGAUGAUAAAAGAGAAACUCAAAGAAAACAAACAUCUACAUUUUAUCUGCAAAAUCCAACAAUCUACAUAGGACUCUGCUCUACAAAAUAACUCAAAACUCUAUUCUGAACUUUUACAGCUGUGACCGUUAUCCUACUCUAAAAAGCUGCACCUUUACAAUCAGCUAAAAUAUAUUUUUUAAGAAAUCAUGAAAAUCAUGAAACUACAGAUGUUGACGGCAUCAAGAAAGGCUUGAAGUGUUAAGCUCUGAAGGCUAUUGCAGUGUGAAUCCAGAUUUGGCCUCUAUUGCAUUCUGUAAAUUAGGACCAGAACAAAAUAAGUAAAGAUGGCUGUUUUCUUCCACAUCUGAGCCACUUUUCUUUACAGAUCAUCCCUGGUGGAACAGCUCAACUGCAUUCAAGUUGAGGUGUACAAAGACAAUUUUUUUUGCAAUUUUU